GACAGCAAAAAUGUUGUGUGGGGAAACAGAGCGAGACUGUAGGAGUGGUUUGGAGACGAGGGAUGCUGGAGCAUCGAGCUUUGGUUGAAGUGCAGCGAUAUGUCUAUAGCUUUCCACUUUCUCUUCCUCUGUAGGUGAGGGAAAGGCAAGCAGUACUGUUCGUUUGUUGAUAACGUUGUAGUUUAAUGUAGAGCUCAUAAUGGGUGAGCUGGCUGAGAUUCUGUGAUGUGUAUACAGCUAAGGUGUGUGGUGUACAUGAAGCUUAGAGAGGGAUUUUGUUGCUGCCACUGAUGGAUGGCUCCAUAGCUAACCUGGUGAGAAAGAAAAUCCUAGGGUUUUUGGUGUGUCUUGAAAGGUGAACUAAUAAUGUUAUGUUAACCAAUCUGGGCAGUGAAGUGAAAGGCUUUUUUGACAAGCAGCAGCCUGUUUUGUUGCAUUAGUCUUGACUUCAUUAGACCGCAAAUGCCUUUCAGCACUGGAUUCAGUAUGUCCCCUGGCAAUUAGUUGUGACAGAAGAGAUUUUUACACCUGGGCAUGAUGUCUCUGACUUAACUUUUAUAGUUUUUUUUUUUUUUGAAUGACUGCAAAUUUACCUGCAAAUGGAUUUACCCACCUUUCAUUUAAUUUGCCAAGAAAGUUCUGUAUUUCUUAUGUUUGUUUAAGAAAAUGGCUAAACAGAAGGUAUAAAAUUAAUUUAAAAAAUACAGUUCAGCAUUUUGUAUAGAUCCCUGUAGCACUUCAGUGGUGAAAACCAAUAAGGUAAAACUCUACAGCCACACCCAGUUUCCAAGACACUCUUUCUCUACAGCCAGGCUGUCUGAGUGACUGAUUUAAUUUUUACAGCUUCCAGUACCAAACAGUCGAUCCCCUGACUUGAAGUAGUGUCCUUGUACAAUUAAGACCACUGAUUAAAUCAACUAAUUGCUCUUGACUAUUUUUCUUUUCUCUUUCUUUUAAUGUGAAAGAGUGCAGAUGAUCCUGCAAAAUUGUAAAAUGGCAGGUAAGGGAAAAACUUAUGUCAGCCAUUCAUCCAUGUUUUAUUUAUUAAGGGCUAGACUCUGCCUCUCAUUGAGUAACAUCUUAUCCUCCAAGUAGUCUGAUUUAAAUUGGACAACCCAUCUAGUAAGGUAUUGCUCAAAGUGAGGCAGAAUCUGGCCCUUAAAAACAGCUUGCAGUGAAUAUUCACUAAUAUAUUUUGCAGUUGCCUUUUUUAAACCUGUAUAUACUUUAUAUUGUUAUAACAUUGUGUUCCAGGAAAAUAAACCACUGUAUUUUUAGAAAUUGGAUUGUAUAUGUUGGGUAUAAUGGAGACUAAUUAUCAUAGGCCUUUAGAAAAAGGAGUUUGAACCAGUAAAGGAAGUCUCCUGAUGAAUAAUAAAUAUAAUAUGUACCUUUAUAUUUCACAAAGCCUGUGUUUGAAUAACUACAAGGAUGUGACAUAAGCCAGCCAAAGCAAGAGAACGGAGAGAAGGCUGAAACAUCCCCACCCCACUCCACUGUGCCUGGAAUAUUGCCUGAGUCUGCACACAGUGGGGAAUUUUAUAUAGCACGUCAGGUGUUAGCAUUUCUGCCUCAUCUUAACUCUAAAUUUUAGGGCCACAUUUUCAAAGGGCCUUUAUCUGUGUGUAUGUAUGUAAAACUCAUUUGUGUGUGCACCUGUGAGUAUGUACAUGCAGAGACGAGGUAAUCAAGUGCAAUUAUAUUAGACAUUAUUACUAGAGGAACUUGGAGCAGUCCUGCAUUGGUAGAGAGAUGGGCUAGAAGAUCUAAUAAUAUAGUUAGGUCUUUUCGAUCUCUAAUUUUUAUGAGUUACGUCCGUUAGGUUGUUUUAAAAUCAAAGUG